rnacentral:rRNA from 1 species
CGUGCAGGCGGUUCGGUAAGUUAGGCGUGAAAGCUCCCGGCUCAACUGGGAGAGGUCGUCUAAAACUGCCGGACUAGAGAGCGAUAGAGGAAAAUGGAAUUCCCGGUGUAGUGGUGAAAUGCGUAGAUAUCGGGAGGAACACCAGUGGCGAAGGCGAUUUUCUGGAUCGUUUCUGACGCUCAGACGCGAAAGCUAGGGUAGCGAAACG